UAGUAAAAAAUUCAUCAAGUUCUACCAUUAAAAACUGGUUUUGCUGAUAGAAUAACGAAACAAUUAUACAUGACAUGUUAUGUAUUCGACGUAUAGGAACUAAUUUUUAAUAGUAGAAGUGGAUAGAAUUUUUAACA
rfam:Gossypium hirsutum cultivar TM-1 chromosome 11, whole genome shotgun sequence